ACACUAGACAAAAUGAAAUCUCGCAGAUCUGAGGCACUCCCGUUAACACUGUGGCAGACCGUAACCUAUGCUACUACGUAGCGUAGUAGCGUAGGUUAAGGGCAGACUCGCACUAAAGUUAGGUUACGCUACAGUGCUGCUGUUGGUGGGUUCGAAUCACGCCGUUAGCCAUGGACGUUUGUUCUUGACAUCAAAUCACCCACACACAAGCUCAUGUGCGCUAUUAUCUCAAAAAAUGCGUAAUAAUUUUAAUUUUGGAAAAGAUGUGAAAUGAUAUGAAUCUAUGGAUAUAGUUUAUACUUGUCCUCUGAAUUAUAAUUUCUCUGAACGUUGGACAACACAUCCAUAGGAGUUUAUUCAUGAAAUAAAUUUCCACACUUCUAUAGAAAAUCAAGUGACACGAGUUUUGUGAGAAAAUAGA